UGCAAGUCGAACGAUGAAGCCCAGCUUGCUGGGUGGAUUAGUGGCGAACGGGUGAGUAACACGUGAGUAACCUGCCCUUAACUCUGGGAUAAGCCUGGGAAACUGGGUCUAAUACCGGAUAGGAGCGUCCACCGCAUGGUGGGUGUUGGAAAGAUUUAUCGGUUUUGGAUGGACUCGCGGCCUAUCAGCUUGUUGGUGAGGUAAUGGCUCACCAAGGCGACGACGGGUAGCCGGCCUGAGAGGGUGACCGGCCACACUGGGACUGAGACACGGCCCAGACUCCUACGGGAGGCAGCAGUGGGGAAUAUUGCACAAUGGGCGCAAGCCUGAUGCAGCGACGCCGCGUGAGGGAUGACGGCCUUCGGGUUGUAAACCUCUUUCAGUAGGGAAGAAGCGAAAGUGACGGUACCUGCAGAAGAAGCACCGGCUAACUACGUGCCAGCAGCCGCGGUAAUACGUAGGGUGCGAGCGUUAUCCGGAAUUAUUGGGCGUAAAGAGCUCGUAGGCGGUUUGUCGCGUCUGUCGUGAAAGUCCGGGGCUUAACCCCGGAUCUGCGGUGGGUACGGGCAGACUAGAGUGCAGUAGGGGAGACUGGAAUUCCUGGUGUAGCGGUGGAAUGCGCAGAUAUCAGGAGGAACACCGAUGGCGAAGGCAGGUCUCUGGGCUGUAACUGACGCUGAGGAGCGAAAGCAUGGGGAGCGAACAGGAUUAGAUACCCUGGUAGUCCAUGCCGUAAACGUUGGGCACUAGGUGUGGGGACCAUUCCACGGUUUCCGCGCCGCAGCUAACGCAUUAAGUGCCCCGCCUGGGGAGUACGGCCGCAAGGCUAAAACUCAAAGGAAUUGACGGGGGCCCGCACAAGCGGCGGAGCAUGCGGAUUAAUUCGAUGCAACGCGAAGAACCUUACCAAGGCUUGACAUGUUCUCGAUCGCCGUAGAGAUACGGUUUCCCCUUUGGGGCGGGUUCACAGGUGGUGCAUGGUUGUCGUCAGCUCGUGUCGUGAGAUGUUGGGUUAAGUCCCGCAACGAGCGCAACCCUCGUUCCAUGUUGCCAGCACGUAAUGGUGGGGACUCAUGGGAGACUUGCCGGGGUCAACUCCGGAGGAAGGUGAGGACGACGUCAAAUCAUC
rnacentral:rRNA from 2 species